GGCAACCCUGCCGCCCACCCCGGUCUUCAAACAGGCCGGACGACGGCUGCCUCAUCUCUUCAUAUGUCUACCUCUGUCAGCAUUUCUGGAGAACAUAAGGACACCUUGCAGCCAAAGCUUAAUCAGGUUUAAUGAUAAAGAUCCUGACAUGUUCUUCUUGUGGGUGGAAGGUGUUGCAGAAUCCAGAGGACGGCCAGAUGUGGAGAAACCCUCGGUGCUUCAGUGGAGGUUCACAGGGAGAAACUCUUUGCAUUCCAGGGCCACAGCCUGCUGAUGUGGAAUUAGUCGCCUUGAGGUGGUUAACCCCAAAAACAGUCUACUUCAGCGAGCACACCACUCAGUGACGGUAGAGAGAGAGGGGAUGACAUGCAGAAAACAGCUUGGGCUUGGAUCCAAACCCAGUUUUGCUGUGGUCAGGACUCAGCUUUGAUAAGUGGUACACACUCUACCAGGUGAGCUACUGGGGCUUUCAUUCAGUGUGAGCAGGGUGGGGGCACAUGAAGUUUUGUGGCCCAAGGCCCCAUGACCCAACACUCCGGCCCUGCUCAGCAGUGGUUAUUUUGAAGGUUAUUUCCUUCCCCUUGCUUGGCACUUGGGCCUGCUCAGGUAGAGGUGGUCACGGUUGCUGGGAGGGGCUUUAACAGACUGAAGGUCCGGGAGCCAUGAACGCUCAUCUCAUCGCUUCAGCCUCCAGGAAACUGGUGAAUCACCGGCGCACUAAUCUCAGGAAACUCCUGUUUACCUCGACUUCAAGCACCUGUCUUAUCUGAAGAGGGAGUACACGAGGAGACCCUCCUGAUAUUAUUGAUGCAUUCAACAUGAAGUUGUCUCACUCUUGGCUUUGAAUUUAGUUCAGUGAUAUCUGCAAAAAUAAACUUUUUUUUCAUUAGCUUAGUUUAGCGUAAACAACUGGUGAUGCAAUUCAAAGCUUUACAGAGAAAUAAUUUAACUCCACUAGUAUGGUGUGUGUGUGUGUGUGUGUGUGUGUGUGUGUGUGUGUGUGCAAGAUUGUGUCUCAGUGCCAGACCUGCAAAAUGUUGUCAGAGAGGGAAAAAGAAGUGCUGGGUCUGCUCUAUAAUUGAAAGGUCAAGCCUCGGAAAUCAAAGUUCAUUCUCACUGUGAUGCAGGAAACAGCUGACACGUGUCAUGUCAUGACGCCGACGCGGGCGGGCCAAACCACCAUCAAAAUAAAAAUAAAAAUAUUGCUUACACAUCCCAAACUCAGUGGUUUGCCCUGCAAAACCUUCGUUUAAUCAUGAAGGCUAUUUAGUGUGUCGGACCCUGAUGAUUUUAGCAGAGCUGGCAAUUAUGCAACACUGACCCCUCUAAUGGAUUAAUUCCCUCGUCUUAGACUCAUUGUUGCCACAGGCAGAGAUUUUCACUGUUACCACUCCCUCAAGUGGUAAAUGGAAAAAAAAAAAAAAAAAAGUCAUUCUCUAGUGGAAUAUUACCAUGUCGGAUGAUUUUAGCUUUGGCCUAUGGCCUCAUUCACUUGUUGGUGGAGGCUCAGACGGCUCACUACAGCCCCCAUGUGUACAGAUGAGAAAAAUGUCUCUUACUUCCUGUGCUCUCACCAUGUGGGCCAUUUUCUCUCCCCAUGUCUGUUUCCUGGUGUUUCUCAUGCUAUGUAUGUAUUAUGUUAUGCACACUGGGUUUGAGAAAUGCAUGUUUUAAAUAAGAUUUCAUAAAUUUUGUUAAAUUGCUGAUGCCUGCAAUGCUCAGCAAAUCUUUGAGCCGGCAAUAUUGAAGAACGUCACAUGAAUGGCUCUCUUCAAGGGGGAGGUUUGUUGAGAUUUAUGUCAAUGUCUUAGCUUUUUUUUGAGACAUCAGUAAAAAUAUACCCUUUUCAUUCCAUUGUACAUCUGAAAUUGUAAUUCUCAUGUCUCAGUGUCUCUUUCCACUAACAAACUCAUAAAAGUAUGACUAUCAAACUAAAGACAGUGUGAUAC